AUUGAACGCUGGCGGCAGGCUUAACACAUGCAAGUCGAGCGGAGAUGAGGUGCUUGCACCUUAUCUUAGCGGCGGACGGGUGAGUAAUGCUUAGGAAUCUGCCUAUUAGUGGGGGACAACAUUCCGAAAGGAAUGCUAAUACCGCAUACGUCCUACGGGGAAAGCAGGGGAUCUUCGGACCUUGCGCUAAUAGCUGAGCCUAAGUCGGAUUAGCUAGUUGGUGGGGUAAAGGCCUACCAAGGCGACGAUCUGUAGCGGGUCUGAGAGGAUGAUCCGCCACACUGGGACUGAGACACGGCCCAGACUCCUACGGGAGGCAGCAGUGGGGAAUAUUGGACAAUGGGGGGAACCCUGAUCCAGCCAUGCCGCGUGUGUGAAGAAGGCCUUAUGGUUGUAAAGCACUUUAAGCGAGGAGGAGGCUACUGAGACUAAUACUCUUGGAUAGUGGACGUUACUCGCAGAAUAAGCACCGGCUAACUCUGUGCCAGCAGCCGCGGUAACAC
rnacentral:rRNA from 1 species